rnacentral:tRNA from 1 species
GCUCAGGUGGUGAAAUUGGUAUACACGCCACUUUGAGGGGGUGGUGGGCGGAUCGCCCGUGUGAGUUCGAGUCUCAUCCUGAGCAC